GUGAGUGAGGAGUGUGAGGAGAACCUGCAGGAGGACUGCCCUGUGAGAUUGGUGCACUCAAGGACCAAGUGUCAUUUCUUCCAUGAACAUGCGGCCUGUCACCUGCUCAGUUCUUGUGCUCCUCCUAAUGCUCAGAAGGAGCAAUGGAGACUCAGUGACCCAGACAGAAGGCCUGGUCACUCUCACAGAAGGGUUGCCUGUGAUGCUGAACUGCACCUAUCAGACUACUUACUCACCUUUCCUUUUCUGGUAUGUGCAACAUCUCAAUGAAGCCCCUAAGCUACUCCUGUGGAGCUCCACAGACAUCAAGAGGACCGAGCACCAAGGGUUCCACGCCACUCUCCAUAAGAGCAGCAGCUCCUUCCAUCUGCAGAAGUCCUCAGUGCAGCUGUCUGACUCUGCCCUGUACUACUGUGCUUUGAGUGACACAGUGAGAGAGACUGCAGGGGAAGCUGCACAUGAACCAAGGGUGCAGGAGGGCUGA